rnacentral:lncRNA from 1 species
AUGACUCCGCGGAGGAGCGGUGGCUCAUCGCCGAGGGCGACGUGUCCCCUGGCGAGGGCAGGACGCCCGAGGCCUGGCAGCCGAGCCCGAGCGCCCUGGCGCCUCGGUGAACCCCGCAGCCUCGUCGCCACCGCCCCAGCAGCCACCGCAGCCGGCCUCCGCCUCCUGCGAGCAGCCCUCAGCAGACACCGCUAUCAAAGCGGAGGGAGGCGCUGCCGCCGGCCACCAAAUCCUCCCGGAGGCAGAGGUGCGCCUGGCCAGGCCAGUUUCAUGCAGUCCCUCUUUAGGACCAUGCUCCAACCCUGGGUCAACAAAUUCUCCCUAAGGAUGUUGGCAGCCAGAAAGCCAUGGAGCACUAGCAGGAGAGGGUCAAGUCGGCGGGAUUUUGGAUCAUCCUCCCCUACAGCGAUUUCAGAUCUUCCACAUGACAUACAACCUGGCCAGCACCGUGGUACACAUCAUGAAACUCAUUGGCAUGAUUCUCCCACUGUGCCACUAGGAUGGCUGCCUGCAGGUCCUGGUGCCCUUGCUGCAGGACUUCCUGAUGACUGCUGGUGUUCAUCAACAAGGUGUGCAGGACGAUCGCUUGAGCCCAGGAGUUGGAAUCCAGCCUGAGCAACAUAGGAUGUGUGCCUGCUACACAGGAGGAUCCCUUGAGCUCACUUGCACUUCAGCCUGGGUGACAGAGCAAGAUCCUGUGUCAAAAUGAAGUGUCAAAAUGAAUAAAUAAAUAAAAAUUAAAAAAACAAAAAGUUGAGCCAAAAAAACAGACACCUUCGAGGGUACUAUUUGCAGCCCAUGCAGACUCCCAGAUCAUGCGUGGCCACUUGCUACUCCAGCAGC